ensembl:lncRNA
GAUGGAGUGAUGGAGGGACAGAGGGAUGGAGUGAUGGAGGGACAGAGGGAUGGAGUGAUGGAGGACUAGAGGGAUGGAGUGAUGGAGGACUAGAGGGAUGGAGUGAUGGAGGACUAGAGGGAUGGAGUGAUGGAGGGACAGAGGGAUGGAGUGAUGGAGGGACAGAGGCAUGGAGUGAUGGAGGGACAGAGGGAUGGAGUGAUGGAGGACUAGAGGGAUGGAGUGAUGGAGGACUAGAGGCAUGGAGUGAUGGAGGGACAGAGGGAUGGAGUGAUGGAGGGACAGAGGGAUGGAGUGAUGGAGGGACAGAGGGAUGGAGUGAUGGCGGGACAGAGGGAUGGAGUGAUGGAGGGAUGGAGUGUUGGAGGGACAGAGGGAUGGAGUAAUGGAGGGACAGAGGAUGGAAUGAUGGAGGUCU